ACUCGUGUGGAAUAUUCCAAGAAACCUUAUCGUUGAUAAGAGCAUAGAAAGCUAUGCCUCUCCUGUAUAAGAAGGGGCUUCCCAUAGGAAAACAUUCACAUAAUUGAUGCCGAAAUCAAAAUGAAAUUAAUGCGGACUCUACUAGUUUUUGCCUUGAUGGUGACCAUUGGAAGGACCUAUCAGGAACAGGACUUUGACUACAGACGGGGCCGGGGCUGGGAAGUAAGGCUCUUAAAUGAGCAGUAUAUUGCCUCAACAUUUUAUAGAGGUCAUAAUUGGGUAAGUUGGCCUAUAUUUGGUGGAUACCCCUCGGUAGUAUAUCCCUGCGGAGCAACAUGCACUAUCUGUGGAGGAAGAACUACGCCGGGAUCACAGCCACCACCCAGUGCUGGAGCCAGUGCUGCACCCAGUGCUGGACCCACUGCCGCACCAUCCACUGUCGCACCAUUGCCUGCUAACAGUCCAGAUAUUGAUAAAGAAGUUCCUGAUUUCGAUGCAGCUCUAGAAAAAUUAAGACAAUAAUCGGAAGGCGCAGUGAUAGACUUUUCCCCAAUGGUAGAUGGCGACAUUAAAGAAUUUCAAUGAACAAAAAAAAGAGGACAUCCAUUGUGAUGGGAAAAGUGAGAGCAAAGGUGGGGCGUCAUGCCAAAGGCAGUAAAAAGAGCGAAAGAGGGUUAAAGGAUGGCUUAAACCUAUCAAAGACUUCCUAUCCAUACCGAUAUAGCAACGAUCAAUCUGUAUCUGCAGCUCCUCUACUAUUCUUCGCAUAUUCCAAUCAAAAUUCGGGAAUCUCUGGUCUUGGAGAGUAUCUAUUCAUCUGUCAAAGUAUCUAGGGCUUUCUUGACGUAUUUUAUAUUACGCGACUGUGACAAAAGUCGGCUACCGUUGCAGCAGCACAACAAUGUACCGUACAACAGCAACAAAACAACAUAAUUAAAUUUUCGUGUGUGCAGCAGAACGAAAG